GAGAGAGAGAGAGAGAGCGAGCAAGAGCGCUGACUCCAUUCGCGUUCGCGGACAGGUAGUAGCCAAGUACCUAUACCAAUACACGUCGCGGACAACUGGAAGGUAAACGUCAGCGCGGAUUAUUCAUUCUCUCGGAGCAGUGGCAGCAGCAGCAGGUCUCCGUCUGCGCGACCGAGUCCAGCACACGACAGACAGCUCGAGUAUCCAUGAGGAACGACGACAGCGUGCCGCGCGCCACCAGCAGCAGCAGCAACCUUAUCUCGUCGUCGUCGGGUAGAGCUCGUCUACGGGAGCAAAAGCGGAGGCUCAUCACUACGCGGGAGUAUCACCUGCAGGAGCGCGGAGCUGGCCGGCUGCCGGCUGCUCACGAAGACGGCGUACCCCGACUCCUCCUUCGCUUCCUGUCCCGACGACAAUGUUCAGCAAGAAACUGCACGUAGACGUCAAAAAGUCGACGCUCAAGAUCCAGGACGUCAAGAAGGACAGCGCCACCAGGUUCAAGCACCUCAAGAUCGUCCUCGAUAAUGUUGAUACUGAUGAAGCCAAAGGUUUCUUCGAGGCAAAUUUCAGUCAUGUCUACUUCAUUUUGUACGAUUGUUUCGUAUCUGCAGAGACAAAUUUGCGUCAGAGAGAACUUUCGUUCCACCUUGUUCACAAAGCACACAGAGAAGAACUGGAGCAGGUUCUACAGUUGUUGGAAAAGGUCUUGACACUCCUUCCUGAAUUGCUGAACAGAAGAUGGCAGUGCCACAGUUUGGCCAGGAUAAUUCAUAAACUUUUACAUCCUGGAAACAGUUGGAAGCUUCGCAGGCAAGCUAUUAGGUAUUUUAUUUUAUGGUAUCAAGCACUCGGAGACAAUGCACCUGAGCACAUACAUCAAAUGUUCGCUUGCCUCGUGCCGGGCUUUCCGCCGAGGCAACCAUCGCCUUACAAGUCAGAGAGGAAAGUCGAUGGCAAGUCCAGGCAUACCAAGUCGUCGAGCUGUGACGAAAAAGAGAAAAAAGAAUUCUAUGAUACGCAGCUAAACCAAUGCGUCUUUCACGAUGGUGGUGGUGUCACGCAAGGACCCAUCAGCCAGGUCGACAGUGGUCCUAUUCUGCCGCCCCAGAGCGGCGAAAAGCCGCUGGACAAUGAACCCGUCAAGUUUCUAGAGGCGUUAUUGGAAUUCAUGGUGACACAGGUGGUGAAAAUAGAAUGGCGAGAUAAACCUUCUCGUCAAUACAGAGCAUUUCAGUUUCUACUAGAUCGCUUUAAAGCUACAUACUUGAAAUACAUUUGCCCGGAAUUUAAUUCAAGUUUUUCCUUGUAUAAACCGAAUCUCGAGUUGUCGUCGAUGCGAAAACCAACCAAUCAAAGCCAAAGCAAUUAUGUGCUUUGUAAAGUAGCCCUCGUCAAAUGGAUUGCCACGUUCACGCACGUCGCAAAAAGGGAUGGAGCUUUUUCACAUCUGACCCAAAGUAUAACACCAAGCGAGGAAAAUGCCGAGGAAUUGCGACGCGUUUCGAUGUCGCAAACUCCACAAGAUGCUAGUUUAAUAUCGACGGAUCAAAAUAUUUCACAAGAUAAUACAAAUCAAGAAGAUAGUACUCUCACGGCUAUGACGCUAGUUCGCGAGGUACUAUAUGGUAGUCGUGAUAACGUUAAUUUUAUUCAUGAAAUGUACAGGCAAGCUUUUUUAUUGGACUUUACGCACGCUGGAGCGAUACGAAAAGCAAUUGGUGCUUAUAAAGACUGGAUACAAAUGAAUGAGGUUCCACCAUUUAUGCUGGAACCGUUAGAUGGGCACAGGGACAAGGAUUACGAGGAGAAUCAAAAAAGGGAUGCCGAAGCCGACAAAAGUCCGCAAGACAGUUUGAGGUUUUCGCGUCUCAGAAACGAUUCUUAUUUAGGAGCGAUACACCGAGAAAAUCUCUUUGUUAGGGCAGGACUGCAAAAUGUCUUGCAAGUAUUUAUAACUCAAGCCUCAAAUGUAUUUUUCUUAGAAUGUGCUGGAGGUACUGCCUCGGCUACUCUGCUCGAAGAGCAAACCGAUAGUUGUAAAAGGGUUCUCAAUGUUUACCGCUAUGUCGUCAUGCACUCGAGGCUUGAACCUCCCACUUGGGAGCAACUACUAAGGGUAUUAUUACAAAUAACGUCUUUGGUAUUGAGCGAAAAGAAUCCACGCCGUAAACACCAAGAUAGUAUUGGUGGCAAGCUAGCACCUGCCAUUUUUCAAACUCUCAUUGUUACCUGGAUAAAGGCUAAUCUUAAUGUAGUUAUAUCAACGCAAUUGUGGGAUCAAUUUCUCGCAGUCUUGACGUCACUGACGCACUGGGAAGAACUCAUUCGAGAAUGGGCUAAAACUUUGGAUACCCUGACCCGAGUUCUAGCCAGGCACGUUUAUAAUCUGGAUCUGAACGAUCUACCUUUGGACAGACUAAGUGAGCAAAAAUCGAAAAAGCGAAGAGGAGUCGGAAGUCGAGCCGCGUCGACCGGUAGCGUGCAACCUCCACGAAGAGGAAGCGUUGAUCAAGAAACUACUCAGUCAUCAAAAGAAGUCACUGAUAAUGCAUUCCGAGAGCUGAGAAAAGCACGACCUCUGCCAAGAAGUGCUAGCGACAACUCCAUUUACAACGGCAAAAUCCGUUCCAAAAUUCACAGAAACCGCUCGCAAACUGGAAACAGUGGCAUACCCGCGCUGCCCCUAUCAAUAGAGCAGGACAUGGCAAGGCUGGUAUCGUCGAUGCGAAGCAGCAGCAAGCGUUCGCUCGGGCGUAGGGCCAAAUCUUUGGAAAGUGUCGUCGUCCCGGAGAGCGAACCGCCGACCCCGAGAUGUCCCUCGCCGACACCCAGCAGUGGCGUGGACAGCAACAAAGACAGUCCUAUACAGAUCGAGAAUAUUGACGGUAACAGCAUCGACACGAGCGACGCGUCGGAGAAAAGGUCCGUGAUGGCCGGUGGCGGAGUAAGGGGUUGGCUGCCCGACGUCGCCGUCGUUCUAUGGCGAAGGAUGCUCUCGGCUCUUGGAGAUGUCAACAACAUCCAGGAUCCCACGUUACAUGGCCAGGUCAUGGAUUAUCUUGUUCAGCUUACGCAUACCCUCAUCAAGAUUCGACAAAAUCAAGGUGUUUCCGGGGACAAUCAAGUGACGCCUCCAGCACCAGAACUGAUCCCUCCUCUGACGAUAAUCGCCCCCUGGUGCUUCAAGGCGAUUCAACUACCUCCACAGUAUGAAGCAGGAAAACUAGCAGCAUAUCGACUUAUUUGCCUUUUAACGAUACAACCGCAGGAUGUUAGCUUACCAAAACAACAUCUCACGCUUUUCUAUCGGGCCGUUCAUCACGGUAUCUCGAGUAAUGAUACGAAAAUUCUUCAUACACUUGUAAAAUAUACAGGACCGAGACUCUUUAGUUUAAAUCUUCCUGGCUCCAGCCUCUUGGUACUUGAUUAUAUUCAAGCGGCUAACGUGAUUCUAAGCAGUCAGGAUAUUGAGGCCCCAAGAAUGGAGGCAGUAUCAAUUCUUGGUUCGCUAUUGUCGCUACCAGUUAUUAAUGUCAACACAAGAGUUCUCCAACCUAACGAAGCAGAGAUCGUAACGACUACUUGCCCAUAUGCAAAGGAUCAUAUCAUAGCUAUUUUAAUGCGAUGCUGUCGACGUGAACCGACGGGAAUAGCGAGAUGUAUUGCACUUUCGAGCAUUGCAAUGUUUGUUUAUAAAGAAUUAAGCUACAAAUCAUUGCACAGAACGAUACCGGAGGCGGUCAACGUUCUUCUUUUGUCAUUGAAGACAAAUCAUGCAACGGUGGCACAAGUAGCUUGCGACUGCCUUCUUUUACUGUGUGACAAAGCAGAUGUACUUCUUGAACAGUAUCCUAAUGUACCAGCAAAAAUUAUUCAGAGUUUAUCCGAAACGCUCGAGCGAAGUAUGAUACGGGAGAGAAAAAGCGCCUUGACAAUUUCGAUGCUAUUCUGUUUGGGAGAAUGGGCCAUGCAUCUUGGUCCAAGUAUGCUGCUACGGGUAUUCCAAGGAAAACCACUUCUUUUAACGCUUUUUUCGGUCUUGGAUAAUAUUGUACAAAAUAAAAGUAGCAAAGAUUCUCAAGAGGUAUCAAAAGCUCAACCCGAAAAAGAAGACUUUGACCCAAGUAUCGCCUUAGAUAAUUUAUUUGACGAGUCUUCUUCGAAAUCACUUUGGAGAGGGAACAUACAAUCUGUACAAUUGGCUGCAAAGAUGGUAAUGAUGCAUCUGGUGAAUCAUUUGGGACACUUCCCAAUGGGUAUCGGUGCGGCUCGACUUUCUUCACUUGUGGUUGAAUUGGAUGACGUACCUGGUAUCGAAAGUGACGAACUAUCGUCGGCGAUGUUCCAUGCACCCAAUAUUCAACUGCUGAUGUUAUCAAAUUCCAUUAUCAUGUCUUUGAUAGAACUAGAUACACUAGAUGCGCCAGGAGGUGGUGUCACUGCAGGUUUGACCACGGCACCGUCUAUGGUACGAGUACUUUUGAGAGAUUUAGCCGGUAAAGCAUCAUGGGAUAGCUCUAUUUUAUAUAAUCAACCAUCUAAUGACGAAGUAGAAGUCUCUCAAACCAAACCAGAAUGUGCAAUAAAAGCUGUGAAAGACGACUUGUGCAGCGUGAUACCUUUACAAAGUUGUCCUCCUAGGCAUACCAUGAGACAUCACGAUCCAGACAUUUUGCCUACUUUUGAAAAUGGAGCAAGUGACAUGGACAAUUUAGAUGAUCUUCUUCAAUAUAUCGGUCAUACGAGCCCUGAGGUCCUGACGAAUCCGGAGGUAGCUCUCAAUUCUCCCGCAGGUCCUCCUCAAGGCCAACACUUUGAAAGCGAGACGAUCGCAGCAAUCUUGAACCAGCGCAACGCUGAACGUGAGCACGUAAACAACUGGAGUCAACAUGUGAGCAUGUGUGCUGCACCGAUUACGCCACCCGCGUGUCGUCCACCUCCAGCACCCUUUCACCACUGCCGCCUCCUCUUUUCGCAUCUUGGUUUAUCGGGUUGGGAGCAGCGUCGAAAGCUGCAUCUGCUUUCUAAAAACGAAAAAUUAUUAAGAGAGCUGAGAAAUCUUGACAGUCAGAGGUCCAGGGAAACUCACAAAAUGGCCGUAAUCUACGUAGGACAGGGCCAAGAGGACAAAAACUCGAUACUCAGUAACGUUACUGCCAGCAAGGAAUACGAAAAUUUCAUUGCGAGACUUGCGUGGGAGGUUGAAUUGGAGUCUCAUACAGGUUUCAUGGGAGGUCUGGUGCCAGGAAAAGCGUCUGGUGUAACUACUCCAUACUUUGCUACGUCGUUUGCUGAAGUUAUAUUCCACGUUGCUACUAGAAUGCCUUCCGAUAGUCCUGAAAGCUUACUACAAAAGACGAGGCAUCUCGGUAACGACGAAAUACACAUCGUUUGGUCGGAACACUGGCGCGAUUAUCGCCGAGACAUCAUUCCUACUGAAUUUUGUGACGUUUUAAUAGUGAUUUAUCCUUUGCCCAAUAAGCUAUACAGAGUGCAAGUAUCCAGGAAGUCAGAAAUACCAUUCUUUGGGCUUUUAUUCGAUGAGUGUAUUGUAGAGGAUGCGGUAUUGCCGGGUUUGGUCAGAACUACCGCGCUUGCUGCCAGCAGAGCGAAAAGAUCCACGUUGACUUUGUACCAGCAAUACUACGAAGAGAGAGCAAGAUCCAUAGAUACAAUAAUGAGAAAUCACAAAGAAGCAACGACUUUUGAGGAAUUUGCUGCGAAUGUUUACUCUCCCAUUCAACCACCUAGUCCAUUCAGUGGGGCUUCCUCUGUAUCAGGCUCAACAACGAGUGUGCAAUCCGCAGCAUCGUCAAAUCUUGCAGCGGCUCUAAUAGAUUCACACCAAGGACGGCCAGGUCUUCGAGGUACUUCUACAGCUAGCAAUGACAAUCGCGCAAAUAGAGUCUUACAAAAUCUGUUGAGAGGUAAUACUUCCAUUCUACGUAUAUCCUAGAAACUAGUCAUAGCUUUAGAAGCUUUUCACACACGCGUCGUUUGGUUAAUCUUCGUGUGCGUGCGCAAGAGAAUAAUGCCAAGUUUCCGAUGGCAGUCGCGUAUGGUUUAGCAGCGACACAGCCGACAGUACUGCUUUUCAUGGGAUAUCGCCAAGACCGGCAAAAAAGAUGUCGUUCAAAACAGGACCCAAGAGCAAGAAUAAUCCGCAGCCCACACCGCCAGACAGUCCACGAUACAAAUAGAUCGAUUGACUGGCCUUUCAAAAAGACCGAAUGUGUUACUUCUGUCUGAUCGUAAAUUUAUUUUAUUCAUCCUUUUAUGCAAUUUUCACAAAAUUGUAUCGAUUAGACAUGAAUGAUAUUACUCGGUUCUCUUUUGUAAAGAGGGUCUGUAGUCGAAAAUCUUUUACUUUUAUGAAGUAUGAGGCGUAUAGGAUGAUAAAUAGGAAUUUAUUAGCUUUAAUUAACUUUGUAAUUAAUUUUCAAGAACUGCAUUAUUCUUCUAAUAGUGACUACAGGCUGCCUUUAUUAAUGUCCAUAAAGCACUGUACUCUAAACAUUUAUUUCUUUCGUUAUGGUGAUAAUAACUUUGAUUAAACAGUGGUGCAUUUCACUUUAAAAAGUAGCUACUAACAAAUGAAUUUUGCGCGAAUCAGAAAAGUUGUUGCCAAUUAGCGUUUUAUGUUUUCCGUCCUUAGAAUUAAUUUUGUAUGAUUGCGUGUACAGAUCGUCAGAUGACGUAUUUAUUCCUAGUUAAUAACGAAUAUAAAUAAGACAUUUCUCUUUACUAAUUAUAGAUUAUACUGUGCGUGUAUCAUGGAAUUUUAUCAUCCCAGUCGAUUUUUUAAAUAGCAUUGUCAUAUUUUUGUCAUGCAAAGCUCACAAUCAAAACGAUGAAUUUAGGCAUAUUGUAGAGAAAGCUCUCAUUUUCAAAUUAAUCCUCGACUACAUUCCAAGAAACUUGAUUCACAGCGAGGGCAUUUUUCAUUCACACCUCAUUAUGCAAUACAUUCCAUUGAAAUAAAUCAACUCAAAAGAUUUUCACAUUUGCAUUAUUAGUUUGAAUUAUAUGCAUUAUAGAAUCCUUUAUUAUCAAAAUCGCCUUAUUCAAGUAAACCAAUGACCUUAAAUGAUAAAUAACUUGUAAAUUUUUUUAAUAUAACUGGCAAAUUUAAUACUUACUGAGUAAGUAUAAUUAAUUAAAAAUAAAAUGUUAAAGUUAGUAGGAAUGAUAGUAACAAAAGUAUUAAACAGUAGAUAAUAAUCGUAUCGAUUUUUUAAUCAUGGCCAAAGCAGCAUUAUUUUUUCACUAAUUUAUAGAAAUGGGGUGAAGAAAAAGAAAUAUGUAUGUAUUGUAUAUAAGUAAGCUCGAUAGUGUCUUAAUCAUCGAAAGAGAUUAUUCAGUAUAUGUAUACAAAAUAAAGCAUUUGUCAUCUAAACAAUGAUAAUUUUUUAUUUUAUUUUAUUAAAUAAUCGUUAUACAUAAGUUAGAUUAAGAUCGAUGCCGUGCAUACAAAUGUAUAUAAUCAAAAUUGAUUCUUUCUCUGUGCAUGCAUACAAACAAAAGCGUUAUUAACGAUGUUUCACUAAUAUAAAUUGUAAGUAUCUUUUUUAAUAAAAACGGUAAAAUUCA